UUAAUUAUAUAUUUACUUUAACCCUAGAUCACUAACCUUAUUUUACAACGCUUAUUACUAACCUUCGUCGUUGCGACUACGCCGUAUAAAAGGGAGGCUUCUAAGGGUUUAUGGAAUAAAAUAUUCAUACCUGUUUUACUUAUUUAUUACAAUAAUCAUUUGAGAACAUGUU